GUGAGUGAUGAAGGCUUUCGGGUCGUAAAACUCUGUUGUAGGGAAGAACAAGUGCUAGUUGAAUAAGCUGGCACCUUGACGGUACCUAACCAGAAAGCCACGGCUAACUACGUGCCAGCAGCCGCGGUAAUACGUAGGUGGCAAGCGUUAUCCGGAAUUAUUGGGCGUAAAGCGCGCGCAGGUGGUUUCUUAAGUCUGAUGUGAAAGCCCACGGCUCAACCGGUGGAGGGUCAUUGGAAACUGGGAGACUUGAGUGCAGAAGAGGAAAGUGGAAUUCCAUGUGUAGCGGUGAAAUGCGUAGAGAUAUGGAGGAACACCAGUGGCGAAGGCGACUUUCUGGUCUGUAACUGACACUGAGGCGCGAAAGCGUGGGGAGCAAACAGGAUUAGAUACCCUGGUAGUCCACGCCGUAAACGAUGAGUGCUAAGUGUUAGAGGGUUUCCGCCCUUUAGUGCUGAAGUUAACGCAUUAAGCACUCCGCCUGGGGAGUACGGCCGCAAGGCUG
rnacentral:rRNA from 1 species